UGGUGGGCUGGUAGCUGGAGCCACAAAAUUAAGCUUUAAUGAAGCCAGAGUCUGCCCUGCAGUAAUGAGCUAUCAAGUGUGCCCCACAGAGCAACAGAAGGCUGCUGUCUGCAGAUGUCUGAUCUCUUCUGCCCUCGUGUGGUUAUUAUCAACGUGCGUAUAUACAGCUCACUAAGAAGAGAUGCACGCACCUCCGGAGUCCCGUGGGCAAAUACCUUUUCAGUUCAGAACUCUGUGAGAUGUAUGAAACAUAACGCUUCUCCACCAGGCUGCAGUCUGCAUAAUCCCAGGGACCAUUCCUGCUUCCAGAGCUGCUGCUUUUUUAUUGAUGACUGUGGGGAUGCGAUACGAAUGUGCUCUGUUCAGCUUAGCAUAUUUAAUCCUAUCUCCCUGUGAUUAUGCUGCUGCAAAAAUUCGUCAAACAUCAGAUGUAUACAGUAAGGACCCUUCAAACACAGGAACUUUUGCCUUUAGAAAUCCUGACUCAAAGAAAUCCUGCAAGUUCAUCGUCCUCUAGCAGGACAUAAGAAGGAUAAUAACAUCAAAUGUUAUACAUCAAAAAAUUAUUUUAAACUCUCCAUCCCUCAAGAAUUCCUAUACAAUGGCAUUCAAGCUGCUAUAGUUUUCCCCAUAACUAGCAGGAUGAAAAGCUGAUCCAUCCUGUGGAUAAUGCUGAAGGAGUGUUAUAUGACAUUAGUGCAUUGGGCCUUUUAAAUCCUGUGUUUGAGGAGUCAGUGUGUGGGGGUUUCACCCUCACAUAAACAUUAGUACUCUGGGCAAGUGCAUAUUUUGUCUUUCUAUUGAAAAUAACAAAAGAGGAAAAGGUAAACUUAUGUCCUUUCAUUAAACAAAGGAUAAUAUAAUGCCUUAGA